CAGAGAGAAGGUUUUUGUUUUAUUUUUAUUGGAACGAUACAGAGAAGAUUAGCAUGGUCUCUGCGCAAUGAGAAGAUAUUCUUAAACAGGGUUACAACCGUAAC